GACGAACGCUGGCGGCGUGCCUAAUACAUGCAAGUUGAGCGCUGAAGGUUGGUACUUGUACCCACUGGAUGAGCAGCGAACGGGUGAGUAACGCGUGGGGAAUCUGCCUUUGAGCGGGGGACAACAUUUGGAAACGAAUGCUAAUACCGCAUAAAAACUUUAAACACAAGUUUUAAGUUUGAAAGAUGCAAUUGCAUCACUCAAAGAUGAUCCCGCGUUGUAUUGGCUAGUUGGUGAGGUAAAGGCUCACCAAGGCGAUGAUACAUAGCCGACCUGAGAGGGUGAUCGGCCACAUUGGGACUGAGACACGGCCCAAACUCCUACGGGAGGCAGCAGUAGGGAAUCUUCGGCAAUGGACGAAAGUCUGACCGAGCAACGCCGCGUGAGUGAAGAAGGUUUUCGGAUCGUAAAACUCUGUUGGUAGAGAAGAACGUUGGUGAGAGUGGAAAGCUCAUCAAGUGACGGUAACUACCCAGAAAGGGACGGCUAACUACGUG
rnacentral:rRNA from 1 species